rnacentral:rRNA from 1 species
CACGUAUUUAGCCGGUGCUUCUUAGUCAGGUACCGUCAUUUUUCUUCCCUGCUGAUAGGGCUCUACAUACCGAAAUACUUCUUCACCCACGCGGCGUCGCUGCAUCAGGGUUUCCCCCAUUGUGCAAUAUUCCCCACUGCUGCCUCCCGUAGGAGUUUGGGCCGUGUCUCAGUCCCAAUGUGGCCGGUCGCCCUCUCAGGCCGGCUACUGAUCGUCGGUUGGUGGGCUGUUACCCCGCAACUGCCUAAUCAGACGCGGGCCCAUCCCAUACCGCUAAUGCUUUCCAUCCAAGGGCAUGCGCCCCCGCAUGUACAUGCGGUAUUAGCAGCCGUUUCCGGCUCGUUACUCCCCCUGUAGUGGGGCAGGUUACCCACGUCGUUACUCCACCCGUCCGCCACUCAGUCAAAGGCGCUUCCUCCCCGAGGGAUCCGCUCAGUGCUUCGUCGACUGCAUGUGUAGCACG